rnacentral:tRNA from 1 species
UCCCUGGUGGUCCAGUGGUUAGGACUUUGUACUUUCACUGCAAUAGGCCAGGGUUUCAUCCUUGAUCAGGGAA